rnacentral:sRNA from 1 species
ACCACCACCUGCUCGGUGUCUAUGCUUUGGCUGAUGUAUCAGAGCCCAGAGUGCAGCCAGACUGUGGGCUGGCACCCCCAAGGGUGGCUGCCAGAGUGAGACCCUCAGCUGUGUCUUCCUUGAACAGCAGAGGUGACAUGAGAAGUAUGUCCAAGCUGGGAGAGGCCUCCUUCAGUGGAGCAUCCGGUUUUGCUCCUUCUCUUUGUGUGGAUGGAAACCAAGGCCUACAGAGGGGAAGGCACUUGCCCAAAGCCACACAGUACAGAGCUGGCCAAGCUGACACCACUGCUGGUCUGUCCGCGGGGUGUGGAAUGAACGAGGGCUGGAAGGCUGAGGGUGGAGUGCAGUGGUGCAGUCUUGGCUCACUGCAAUUUCUGCCUCCUGGAUUCAAGUGAUUCUCCCACCUCAGCCUCCCAAGUAGCUGGGACUACGGGCGAUAGAGACCUACUUGCUGAAUGUCUCUCCCGGGGGGCUGACCUACAUUGCCGAGUGGCGAGGGGGGAUUCUGGACCACAAGAUGGGGCACCUGGCCUGUUUCUCCGGGGGCAUGAUCGCCCUUGGCGCCGAGGAUGCCAAGGAAGAAAAGAGGGCCCACUACCGAGAGCUCGCAGCCCAGAUCACCAAGACGUGUCACGAGUCAUACGCCCGCUCAGGCCUUGGAGAAAUACUGUCGGACAGAAGCCGGUUUCUCCGGGAUCCAAGACGUGUACAGUAGCAACCCCAACCAUGACAACAAGCAGCAGAGCUUCUUUCUAGCGGAGACACUAAA